GCCCGCUUGGCGGAACCGGCAGACGCAAGGGACUUAAAAUCCCUCGCCCGAUGGGCGUGCGGGUUCGAAUCCCGCAGCGGGCACCA
rnacentral:tRNA from 1 species